rnacentral:rRNA from 1 species
UGGGGAAUUUUGGACAAUGGGCGAAAGCCUGAUCCAGCAAUGCCGCGUGUGUGAAGAAGGCCUUCGGGUUGUAAAGCACUUUUGUCCGGAAAGAAAUCCUUGGCUCUAAUACAGUCGGGGGAUGACGGUACCGGAAGAAUAAGCACCGGCUAACUACGUGCCAGCAGCCGCGGUAAUACGUAGGGUGCAAGCGUUAAUCGGAAUUACUGGGCGUAAAGCGUGCGCAGGCGGUUUGCUAAGACCGAUGUGAAAUCCCCGGGCUCAACCUGGGAACUGCAUUGGUGACUGGCAGGCUAGAGUAUGGCAGAGGGGGGUAGAAUUCCACGUGUAGCAGUGAAAUGCGUAGAGAUGUGGAGGAAUACCGAUGGCGAAGGCAGCCCCCUGGGCCAAAUACUGACGCUCAUGCACGAAAGCGUGGGGAGCAAACAGGAUUCAGAUACCCUGGUAGUCCACGCCCAUAAAACGAUGUCAACUAGUUGUUGGGGACUUCAAUUUCCUUAGUAACGUAGCUAACGCGUGAAGUUGACCGCCUGGGGAGUACGGUCG